GUCUUUUUGCCUUUUCUAGGGCCACUCCUGCGCCAUAUGGAGGUUACCAGGCUAGGGAUCUAAUCAGAGCUGUAGCCACUGGCCUACGCCAGAACCACAGCAACGUGGGACCCGAGCUGAAUCUGUGACCUACACCACAGCUCACGGCAACACUGGAUCCUUAACCCACUGAGCAAGGCCAGGGAUCAAACCCGCAACCUCACAGUUCCUAGUCGGAUUUGUUAGCCACUGCACCAUAACGAGAACUCCUCUUUUAUAGUGUUUUUUAAUGUGGAAAGAAUUUCUUUUGGCUCAUUAAAUCAUUAAAAUCAGAAAAGAUAUGUACUUAUUCUUUUCUUUGUUUCCUUUAAAUCUUCUAAUCCCUUUCCAGCGUGUGAUUUUAUAUUAAGAAUGGGACUUAAAAUAAGAGGUUUUGCAGAGCAAUAAGAAAAGGUAUGAUUUUUUUUCUAAUACACAGUGAGAUCACCUGCACUAAUCUGUGAAUAAAAGAACUAUUCCCUAACAAACUGUUUUUCUUGAUAGAUUUUCUGUUAGAAGCUUUAGAAUAAGCCAUGCAAUUUAUAAGCUGAGUGUGUAGAAACGCAAAUAAAAUGAAAAGAAAAUGAAACAUCUUCUUCCUAAUAUUACAGCAAAAGACCAAGAUAUGGCAUCGUUUUAUACAUCCUGUCAUUUAUACAAGACAUGGACAUGACCAAAAUUCCCACGCAGCUGGAGAGGAAUUGUCCACGAUGAGAAAUAAACCAUUUAAUUCCUUCGAUGGAGAUGGGCGCUCCAUGUGUACGCAAAGGAGAUAAACACAGCUGCCCCGUUUCUGCCUUUCCUCCAUUUUGAAGUGAGACAGGACCACGAAGUCUGUAUUUCACACGGGAAGAGCUCUAAAUGUCAGGGGAUGGUCUUCAUUCUAUUUGGGAUCCUGUUGCUUUCCAUUAAAACCCAAUGCCUGGAGGCCCCUCACCUAACUCAUGCCUAUGUGGAAGAAUUCCCUAGAUCACCACAAAAAGACGCCGAAUUUACUCUGCACUCUUCAGUCCAUUAAAAUAAUUACCUGUAAAAUUAAUACCCAACAGGAAAAUUACUAAAGAAAUUGUCUUUUUUCCCAAAGUAGCUUGGAAAGAUCUAGAGUGUGUGUUCUUGUAUAUUUUUAUGGAUAUUCUUAGAGAGGAAACCACAUUUCUAAUAUCCCAUUUUUUAUGAGGCAGUUAUUACCAUUGAUACAUCAUCAGUCUGCUUUAUUACACCCUUGAGAAGCAGGUGAUAUUGCUUAUGUCAGAAUAGAACAUAUUAAACCAUCCACUGCAUCACAAAAUUCUAAGAAUGACAACUCUUCCCCUAAAAAUUUAGCAUUGUCUUAUUUAGCUGUCAAAGCUUACGUCACAAUUGGAUUCCAAAAGGAACAAGAUUUCACCCUGCUUUUAAGAUCCCUCCAGCAGAUGUUAUAUUUAUGAGUGAUUUACAUAGUUGAGAAAAAUUAUUUCCAAAAAUAAGGUAAUCUCUCCAAAUCACUGAAAUAAGCUUCAUUGAUUAAUUCAUAGACUGAAGAAAUACUGCAUGUUUUGGUCUUAGGAAUAUAUGUAGUCAAGGAAAAAAUGUACUUAGAAGAAAAUCAAACAGGAAAUGCUAGGAGACAUAUUUCUGUUAAAAAGUAAAUACACAAAUCCCCCCUACCCAGAUUCUGUGCUAUGAAGAGGAAAAAAAUUAUUAGGAUUCUGAAAAGAAAUUUUGAAGAACAUAAAACUGUCACCAACCCUAUCUUAAAACAAAAGUUUAAUUUAUGGCCUACAUAAGCCUUGUUCUCUGUAUUCUUCCUACAGAUAGCAAGGGAGUUUCUAAAAAUAAGUACCAGAAGCUUUCUGAUUUGCUUCUUAUUCUAACAAUAAUGACCAAACAUCAAUGAAGGUGUUAGCUCAUCCCAGAAACCAUAGAGAAACGUGUUCAUCAAAGUUCAAAUCUCUGGUGAGCAUCUUUGCCGUGUCUCUAAAAGGGUCUCCGAAGCUAUAAUAACUUCAAUUCACACGUUUCAAGAGAGAAGGACACAGUGUUAAGAGAUUCAAGAAUCCUCCGUAAUUCAAGAUAAAAACAGCCCAGAUAAGCCCCUGACAUGCAGUCUUUGAGAAAAUGCAUUUGGAGUAAUCAUACCGUUGCUUGACAACGUCUGGGAUUGUCACAGAAUUUCAUCAGAUACAACAAAAUAAUUCCAGAAUAUACAGCAGCUGUCUCAGGCUUUGAGCCACGUCUAUUUACGUGUUCCACAUACAGGGUGAAGCAAAAAGUAUAGUCACAGGAAGGUCAGCGCACUCUCUCUAAAGUUCUUAAACGUUUCUCAUAAUGUAUUACUGAUUAAAUAACCAAUAACGAUUGUAUAAUUCCAUAAAGCCAUUUGUUUAUGUCAGAAUAUAAUACAUGAAAUAGGUAAGGUGUUGUGUUAAAUACAUUAAUAUGCCACAUUAUAUGUUCAUAUAACACAUUAAUAUGCCCAAACAUUAUUGUUACACUUUGAUGAGGAGAUGGUAUCAGUUUCAGAGCCAAUUACAUUUGGAAAAUAAUUUCAAGACAAAGUUUUCAUCACGUGCAUCAUAGCCUCAGCCUAUUUCCUGGAGUAUGUAAAGAAUUUCCUGGAAAUUGCAGUAAAAUUAAUUUUAGUCUAUAUUCAAAACAUUUGGUUUCUUAGAAGGUUUACAUAUGCAAAUUAUGAAGCAUUAGUUUAUUAACAAAUCUUCAUGAAGCACCUAUUAGGUGCAGAGACUGCUCAGAAAUAUGAGCCCCCAGUGAACACAGAAGAUAACCCUAGCUCUUGCUGUCAUUUCCUGCCACCUAUACCUUUUGUCUUUUGCCCCAGCACAGAAAUCAUUAAGAAGGAAAUGUGUUCUAGAAUAUUAGAAUCCCUCUUUAUUAACUUUAGCUUAUUGAAAAAAGAUCCCCCAAAAUUAUAGUAUUGGGAACUCAUUGUUCAGUGGAUAAAUUUAAUGCAUAUUUAACUAAUAAAAAUAUAAUCUAGUCCAAAUAACCAUGUGUUUUAUUAAAUAAAUUAAUAAUUUGGUUAUUGCUUAGAGUGAUGAAUCUCCACAUUUCAUAAUCAUUUUUCAGCUUUAAAAUGUAUUCAUUACAUGGACCUAUUUUAAAAGUCCUUCUAAAGUGCACCUUGGCCAGGCAGGAAACUAUGCAGUGUUCUGCUGGGCAACCCAAAUUUUGACAUGAGAGGCCUGACUCAGUCAAUGGCAUCCACGUCACUACCGCCAGGGGUGGGGGAGGGUCUCAGGGUGUAUGUGCACAGAUCAAUAGAAUCAAAUGGCUUAGAGCAAAGCUUUGUUGUCUCAUCAUCUGAACAGCUAAAUUAACAGUCCAUUGUAAUUGGCUGCAAAUCAGUCCAUUUGCAGUUGUGCGCUGACCCUCAGAGCUCCCUAGUAUCACAGUCCACCUGAGCACUGAGCUGUAGACACAUAUCCCUGCAGCGCUAGUUGACCUCCACAGAUUAAGAAACAAACAUAGGGUUGGCAUCCACACAAUUUUUUGAGGGCUCUGGGAACAGAAAAGGGAUCCAGUGAUCUUAUGGAAUGAUAUGGGCAACUGUGCUCCUUCAUCACGUGUGAAGAAAGAAGGAACUGUGGUUAAUGUUACUUAAAUAAUUGUCACUACCCUUCCUCUGGUUAACAUCUGGGCAUCCUUUUUACCAAUGGAGAGAAAUGCUUCAAGUUUUCCUUCUCACUAGGGUUAUGCUUUGUACAAGGAAGAUAUCUCACUAGGGAUAUGCUUGGUACAGGUUUAAAUCUUUCCUUUAAGGAGUUUUUAGGAUGGGGGCACAUAUUCUGGAUACUGGCGAUUUUUACUUAAAACAGUUUCAAUGUAAUCAAUGCAAAAACGUUGCUUCUCAAGAAGGGCUGUGACUGUUUCCAAGAUAAAUGAGAUUGGUUUAUGGUGGUCAGGAAGGACAAUCUCCAGAGCAUCUAGGAAGUGGCUGUGUAUGGAUAUAUAUGUGUGUGUAUGUAUGUAUACAUAUUCGUGUGUAUGUAUGUGUGUGUGUAUAUGUAUUCAUAUAUGACUGAAUCUUUCAUGCACCUGAAACUAACUCGACCUUGUAAACCACCUACAUCUCAAUUUAAAAAAAUGAAGCCAAAAAGUAAAGAGUAUCAGCGGCUCCGUCCCACCACCACCCAGGGUGCAGAGGUGGAGACAGCAGGUGCUGGAUUUAGGAGGCAAACCCUAAAGAGGCAGAACCACAGAGCUUCAAGUCUGUCUGAGGCUUUCCCUGGUUUUGUUCAGGUGAGUCACUCAAUUAAGGUUUCAUUCUUUUUUUUUUUUUUUCCAUCCAAUACAAAUGUUUAUCAAGAGCCUUCUGACUGCCCCGCCCAGUGUGGGGCAAACACACAGCAUCCCCUAACAUUUCAGCCUACGGGUCUACUUGUGCAGGUUCAUCAAGAAGCGAAAUGGAAACUACAAGAGACCAGUAAUAGGAGGCAAUCACGGAGGAGCAGCCCUGAGGCUCAAGGAGAAUUGAAGGUGAGAUGGACGAGCCAGAAGUGGGAGCCAUAGUUACAGUCAGAGCUGAUGGCCUGUGCAACUGAGGAUCCCAUGGAGAACCGACUGCACAGGAGUCUCAAAAAUAACGCCUACUUUCUGCAGCCCCCCACCACAGCCGCCGCCCCCGCCUGUCACCAGCAAAGGUGCCUUCCUUUGCAUGAGAGACAUUCACCCAUUAAUAGAAAAGGAAAAUGGUAGCAUAACACAGAAGACAGAAGAGGACUCAGAGGUUCUCAUAUGGGAAGCAAAUAUGAGGACUCUGCAGAUACACUGGGUUAUGCCUUAUUUGUAUACUUUAUCUACUGCAUAUAUGUAUAACUUAAUAUUCAUUACAAUAGAAUUCACCUUAUAUGUAGAGAGGAAUCUACCCUUGUAUGUAUAUAUGCAUGUACAUAUUUAUGCCAUGUUUGCAUAUAAGCAUAUAAACGUGUGCAUAAAUACAUCACAUAUAUGUACAUAUUUAUGUAUAUAUAGAUACUAUAACUGUGUAUGAUGAUGAUUUUAACCUAGGGUUAUGUUUAGUGAUAAAAUGAAAGGAUUCUUUUCCCACAGGUAUGUGCCAGGGUUUCCAUAGGUAUUAAAGAUUUUGUUGUCUUCAAACUCUCAUUUUUCAUAUAUAAAGAUAAAAUGUAUAACAAAAAUGGAAAGAUAAAAGUCUCCUGGGACUCAAAUCCAUGCCUACUCCCCCCACAGAGCAUGUGUUUUCAUGGAGAAAUGUCCCAAUCUGUCCUCUUUGUGAGGUGACUCAUAGAGCACAUCCACACUGCCCUGGUGUCACUCCUGUCAUGUGUCUCAGAGCCAACACCAUUGCUUUCUCAGGAUAGGCAUUGUGUACUUUUCAACCUAAAAUUGUAAUUUUCCACAUUUUGAGUUUUCUCAUAUAAUCCAAAUACAAUUUCUGAAUCAAAGCAAACAAUUUAAUCACAUACUUAAAAUCAAUGGAAAUACAAGGCAGAUUUAUGGAAAGAGAAUGCUGUUGCAAUCAAUAUUUUAAAUUGCAUCAUUUUGUUUGUAGCCAAAUUAAUAUAAUUCAGCUAUCACACUAAAUACGUACUCGCAAUAUGAUUAGAAAUAAAUCAUUAGGAGUAAUAUGGUAAUGCAAUAAGCUUAUGACUAUGGAAUCAUUUGGUGAAAAUUGAAAAUAGUUAAUGAUUUGAUAUAGUGUUGGCAAAGAAAAUUAGAACUAUCAGCCACAAAUAUUAUCUUUGCUAACACUAUAUUUAAACCUGUCAGUGCCACUAUUGUAAUAGUGUUAAAAAGCUAAAUUUCACAUCCACAUAAUGUGUAUCACCUAUAAUACUAUUCAGUCAACCUCUUGGCG
rnacentral:lncRNA from 1 species